GGACAAAGAGACAUACGUGAAUGUAGAAUCAACUAUUCCAUCUUUUUUGUCUUUUUCCAUUUUCACCAAAAAAGCGUCCACAAAGUCAUCACCUUCUUCGCUGACGACA
rnacentral:snoRNA from 1 species